GGGUGAUUAGCUCAGUGGUUUAGAGCAUUUGUUUUACAAGCAAAAGGUCACUAGUUCAAAUCUAGUAUCACCCA
rnacentral:tRNA from 1 species